rnacentral:rRNA from 1 species
UACGUAGGGUGCGAGCGUUGUCCGGAAUUAUUGGGCGUAAAGAGCUUGUAGGCGGUUUGUCGCGUCUGCUGUGAAAAUCCGGGGCUCAACCCCGGACUUGCAGUGGGUACGGGCAGACUAGAGUGUGGUAGGGGAGACUGGAAUUCCUGGUGUAGCGGUGAAAUGCGCAGAUAUCAGGAGGAACACCGGUGGCGAAGGCGGGUCUCUGGGCAGUAACUGACGCUGAGGGGCGAAAGCGUGGGGAGCGAACAGG